rnacentral:lncRNA from 1 species
CUGUGAACCCUUUUGUAACAACCAUAGUUGUUUCCUGUCUAGGGAUAACAUGCGUUAGUGCUAGCCACCUACUUCUUAGCACCGGGAAUAAAACCGGGAGGGGUUCGAAUCCCCUCUGCAAGAUGCGUGGCCAUGGAAUUCCAACCUCCAUGACUGGCGCAAGGUUCCCUUCUCUUGUCGAUUGCUAGCUUAGGAGGAGCCAUAAGAACCCAUCCGCAAUCUCCCCCUGGGGAUAAUGGUCAAUUUCAUCGAUCGAGGGAAUCGAUGGAAACAUUCCCUGGCAAGAGGGGUAAUAGACUUGAGUUACAAAGGACAAGAAGGCACAGAUUGUGGAAGAUCUUCCGAUGCUAGGCGGAAGACACCACUGGGCGGAUCCCACGGGGGUCCGUCCUGCGACAGUGACCGACGCGACGCUAUACCGGAAAGGCCCCUCGGGGUGUUAGAAAGUGUAGGAUGUGUACAGAGCAGUGCUUGGAAAGGGUUGUGCUUCGGGCAAACACCUAAAAAGGUUUUCCCCCGAACCCCCUUUCCAAAAAAGAUGGAACGGAACUGGAACCUAACUUUGGUGAUUAUCUUCAGUGGUUAGGUUCCAAGAACUAUAGUAUAACUCAUUAGCUACACCCCCGCCCUCAGGGUGAAGGUGUUCCCCCCGAGACCCCCCUUCUGGUUUUGGAUUACGAGUUUCCAAGGGACCGGAGCCGACUUGGGAUUAUAAAAGAGUUAUACUUGUUCUGCCCGACCUUCGGGAUAGUGAAUCCUUCCUGCCAGGAAGGCUUCCCUCUCCCUUUGGUCUCCAGGGAUAAGAAGUUCCAUCACUCUGCUCUGCUUCCCGGAAAUCCGGUUAAGAAGAAUGCAUAUUCUACACUUUCCGGGAAGCAGAGCAGAGAGAACAGAGCCCUCGCCCCGGAGGGGCUAAUUCUUGUAGUGAAGAGAUAAAGAAACAUAGAACUUGUGUAUUCCACCAGAGAUGCUCUGUUUUCCACCAGAGAAGCUAUGUUUCUUGUCCUUACAGUGGCAUCCCUAAGGGAUGUCUUACUACCCUUCGAGUCCGAUCUCAGGGUAGCGCUUAGGCGGGGGCCCCAUACCCAUGGGGUUUAGUAGUAGAUUUAUCGAGGGAUUUACCUCGAUCAAUCGGGGUGGCAUCCCAGAGGGAUGGUCUUGUCUUGUAUUAAUGGGAAUUCCUCCCUUUGGUCGGAUACUUAGAUCAUCUAUUUUAGUGGUGCCUUUGGUCACCUCUAAAAUUAUAGGAUUGGCAGGUGAAAUAAGAAUAAAGGAAUUUCUCUCGAAACCCGGUUGGGUUUCUAGCUCGAUUUACUAGGCGAUAUGAGGGUUUUCCAACUCGAGGUACAAACCCCUUAAGACCUAUCCGAACUCUCGAUAGAGAGCCCUCUAGAACAUGGCCCAUUUUCCUGCAAACAACCGUUCCUAAAAUCCAUUUAACAACCAACAGGCAGUGGGAAUCAAGAAAAGCCGAUCAAUCGACUAUUUGAGGCCUUACGGAUCUGUUUUGCAGUCCGGAUGGUCCUGGAGUAAUGACUUAGAGUGAUCUGUGAACCCUUUUGUAACAACCAUAGUUGUUUCCUGUCUAGGGAUAACAUGCGUUAGUGCUAGCCACCUACUUCUUAGCACCGGGAAUAAAACCGGGAGGGGUUCGAAUCCCCUCUGCAAGAUGCGUGGCCAUGGAAUUCCAACCUCCAUGACUGGCGCAAGGUUCCCUUCUCUUGUCGAUUGCUAGCUUAGGAGGAGCCAUAAGAACCCAUCCGCAAUCUCCCCCUGGGGAUAAUGGUCAAUUUCAUCGAUCGAGGGAAUCGAUGGAAACAUUCCCUGGCAAGAGGGGUAAUAGACUUGAGUUACAAAGGACAAGAAGGCACAGAUUGUGGAAGAUCUUCCGAUGCUAGGCGGAAGACACCACUGGGCGGAUCCCACGGGGGUCCGUCCUGCGACAGUGACCGACGCGACGCUAUACCGGAAAGGCCCCUCGGGGUGUUAGAAAGUGUAGGAUGUGUACAGAGCAGUGCUUGGAAAGGGUUGUGCUUCGGGCAAACACCUAAAAAAGGUUUUCCCCCGAACCCCCUUUCCAAAAAAGAUGGAACGGAACUGGAACCUAACUUUGGUGAUUAUCUUCAGUGGUUAGGUUCCAAGAACUAUAGUAUAACUCAUUAGCUACACCCCCGCCCUCAGGGUGAAGGUGUUCCCCCCGAGACCCCCCUUCUGGUUUUGGAUUACGAGUUUCCAAGGGACCGGAGCCGACUUGGGAUUAUAAAAGAGUUAUACUUGUUCUGCCCGACCUUCGGGAUAGUGAAUCCUUCCUGCCAGGAAGGCUUCCCUCUCCCUUUGGUCUCCAGGGAUAAGAAGUUCCAUCACUCUGCUCUGCUUCCCGGAAAUCCGGUUAAGAAGAAUGCAUAUUCUACACUUUCCGGGAAGCAGAGCAGAGAGAACAGAGCCCUCGCCCCGGAGGGGCUAAUUCUUGUAGUGAAGAGAUAAAGAAACAUAGAACUUGUGUAUUCCACCAGAGAUGCUCUGUUUUCCACCAGAGAAGCUAUGUUUCUUGUCCUUACAGUGGCAUCCCUAAGGGAUGUCUUACUACCCUUCGAGUCCGAUCUCAGGGUAGCGCUUAGGCGGGGGCCCCAUACCCAUGGGGUUUAGUAGUAGAUUUAUCGAGGGAUUUACCUCGAUCAAUCGGGGUGGCAUCCCAGAGGGAUGGUCUUGUCUUGUAUUAAUGGGAAUUCCUCCCUUUGGUCGGAUACUUAGAUCAUCUAUUUUAGUGGUGCCUUUGGUCACCUCUAAAAUUAUAGGAUUGGCAG